AUUGAACGCUGGCGGCAGGCUUAACACAUGCAAGUCGAGCGGAGCGGCGGACGGGGGAGUAUUGCCUAGGAAUCUGCCUGGUAGUGGGGGAUAACGUCCGGAAACGGGCGCUAAUACUGCAUACUCUCAGAUGAGCAUAGGCCGGAUUAGCUAGUUGGUGGGGUAAAGGCUUACCAAGGCGACGAUCCGUAACUGGUCUGAGAGGAUGAUCAGUCACACUGGAACUGAGACACGGUCCAGACUCCUACGGGAGGCAGCAGUGGGGAAUAUUGGACAAUGGGGGAAAGCCUGAUCCAGCCAUGCCGCGUGUAUGAAGAAGGUCUUCGGGUUGUAAAGUACUUUAAGUUGGGAGGCGGUACCAACAGAAUAAGCACCGGCUAACUACGUGCCAGCAGCCGCGGUAAUAC
rnacentral:rRNA from 1 species